rnacentral:rRNA from 1 species
GAUGAACGCUGGCGGCGUGCCUAAUACAUGCAAGUCGAGCGAACAGACGAGGAGCUUGCUCCCCUGACGUUAGCGGCGGACGGGUGAGUAACACGUGGAUAACCUACCUAUAAGACUGGGAUAACUUCGGGAAACCGGAGCUAAUACCGGAUAAUAUAUUGAACCGCAUGGUUCAAUAGUGAAAGACGGUUUUGCUGUCACUUAUAGAUGGAUCCGCGCCGCAUUAGCUAGUUGGUAAGGUAACGGCCUACCAAGGCAACGAUGCGUAGCCGACCUGAGAGGGUGAUCGGCCACACUGGAACUGAGACACGGUCCAGACUCCUACGGGAGGCAGCAGUAGGGAAUCUUCCGCAAUGGGCGAAAGCCUGACGGAGCAACGCCGCGUGAGUGAUGAAGGUCUUCGGAUCGUAAAACUCUGUUAUUAGGGAAGAACAAAUGUGUAAGUAACUAUGCACGUCUUGACGGUACCUAAUCAGAAAGCCACGGCUAACUACGUG